GAUGAACGCUGGCGGCGUGCCUAAUACAUGCAAGUCGAGCGAACAGACGAGGAGCUUGCUCCCCUGACGUUAGCGGCGGACGGGUGAGUAACACGUGGAUAACCUACCUAUAAUACUGGGAUAACUUCGGGAAACCGGAGCUAAUACCAGAUCAUAUAUUGAACCGCAUGGUUCAAUAGUGAAUGACGGUUUUGCCGUCACUUAUAGAUGGAUCCGCGCCGCAUUAGCUAGUUGGUAAGGUAACGGCUUACCAAGGCGACGAUGCGUAGCCGACCUGAGAGGGUGAUCGGCCACACUGGAACUGAGACACGGUCCAGACUCCUACGGGAGGCAGCAGUAGGGAAUCUUCCGCAAUGGGCGAAAGCCUGACGCAGCAACGCCGCGUGAGUGAUGAAGGUCUUCGGAUCGUAAAACUCUGUUAUUAGGGAAGAACAAAUGUGUAAGUAACUAUGCACGUCUUGACGGUACCUAAUCAGAAAGCCACGGCUAACUACGUG
rnacentral:rRNA from 1 species